GACGAGGGGUCCAAGCGUUGUUCGGAAUCAUUGGGCGUAAAGCGGGUGUAGGUGGCUUUGUAAGUCAGGAGUGAAAUCCCCCGAGCUUAACUUGGGAAGUGCUUUUGAAACUGCAGAGCUUGAAUGUGGGAGAGGAUCGUGGAAUUCCAGGUGUAGUGGUGAAAUACGUAGAUAUCUGGAGGAACACCGGUGGCGAAGGCGGCGAUCUGGCCCAACAUUGACACUGAGACCCGAAAGCGUGGGGAUCGAAAACAGG
rnacentral:rRNA from 1 species